rnacentral:misc_RNA from 1 species
AACGCAAAUUGCACUUCUUGGUACUCCGAGGAGUACACAUGCUUGAGGGUCAGUUAAAAAAAAUCGUACAUCACUGAUGUUGCGGAUCUGGGUAUUUCGAUUUUAUAAAUUGGUUACCUAAAAUUAAUAUGAAUAUUUAAUGUGAAGCGUACGUACUAAUUAUAUAGUCGCUAAUCAUUUAUACUUAUUACAUUACAACUAAGUAUUUAGUUGGUGGUGUAUAAAUUAGUGAAUGACCUCAAGUCAUGUGAGAUCACCCGCUGAACUUAA